UGGAAGAAGAUAAUGAAAACCCUUAGCCAACGAUUCAUAUGCAUGGAUAUUUUGGACAAACAAAUGGUUUUAUGCAAAUAGUAAAGGUGUGAAUAUUGGUUAACAGAAAAAGUACCUAGUAAGUUGCUAAUAUGGAUUUUCAGGCUUUGUCUGCCUAGGAGACCCAACAUUGGCACCAAUUCACGAGUUCUUAAUCAGAUCAUGGCAAAUUGGCAAUCAACUGAAGUAUUGUGCUUUUGGAGUUUUAAAUGAUGCAGAGAGAUAUAAUGAUUAGCCAACAACAGGUUAAAGGAACUUAUAAAUAAUACAGUGGCAUUCCAG
rnacentral:misc_RNA from 1 species